rnacentral:rRNA from 1 species
GAUGAACGCUGGCGGCGUGCCUAAUACAUGCAAGUCGAGCGAACAGACGAGGAGCUUGCUCCUCUGACGUUAGGGGCGGACGGGUGAGUAACACGUGUAUAACCUACCUAUAAGACUGGGAUAACUUCGGGAAACCGGAGCUAAUACCGGAUAAUAUAUUGAACCGCAUGGUUCGAUGGUAAAAUACGGUGGUGCUGUCACUUAUAGAUGGAUCCGGGCGGCAUUAGAUAGUUGGUAAGGUAAUGGCCUAGCAAGGCAACGAUGCGUAGCCGACCGGAGUGGGUGGUCGGCGACAUGGGAGCGGGGACGGGGACAAGGGGACUACGGGAGGCAGCAGUAGGGAACCUGCGGCAAUAGGCGAAAACAUGACGGAGCAGGCCGGCGUGAGAGACAACGGUCUUCGGAUCGUAAAACUCUGUUAUUAGGGGAGAACAAAUGUGUAAGGAAAUAUGCAGGUAUUGACGGUACUGGAUCAGAAAGCAACGGCUAACUACGUG